rnacentral:rRNA from 1 species
UACGGAGGGUGCAAGCGUUAUCCGGAUUCACUGGGUUUAAAGGGUGUGUAGGCGGGCAGAUAAGUCAGUGGUGAAAUACCUAGCUUAACUUGGGAACUGCCAUUGAUACUAUUUGUCUUGAAUGUCGUGGAGGUUAGCGGAAUAUGUCAUGUAGCGGUGAAAUGCUUAGAUAUGACAUAGAACACCCAUUGCGAAGGCAGCUAACUACGCGAAUAUUGACGCUGAGGCACGAAAGCGUGGGGAUCAAACAGG